UAACGUUAUGCAAUACGACCGCCUUACACACACGCAUACACACAUCAAACAAAUUUACGGCACUCCCAUUUAUCCAUUCACCCAUUUUCUAUGCAUUCUACUCGACAAAGUUUUGUUUUGUGAGACCGCCACAUUGCCACCGCCACCCUCGCCUGAUCACAAUUCUUUUGUUCCACCUUCGGCUGCCGUUAGACUUUGGACUCACUUGUGUUAUACAUACAGACAUUUAAAGUGUAUGUUCAUAUGGGUAGAUGUGUGCUUACGUUUUGCACUAUUUCUCCAACUAAUUUAUUGAUUCUAUUGAGUAAGUGGCGCAUUUAUCGCAUUCAUUCGCUUUGUCGGUUCGGUUCGAAUGCAAACUCGGUUAAUUUCACUUAAACAGCAAUUAACUAAAUUGACUUGAACUGAGUUGUGCUCGCUGAAGUUUUCGCAAUUACCUUGCAAGGUAAUCGAUUAAUUAGAUUUGGAUGCCGAAAAUGACUCAACUGGCACAAAUGUAUAUCUUCGUUUAGAUCGAAACCUAUACCUUUAUAAGUAUUUUUCGUGCGUUUGUAACAAAGCAAGAUGUGCCAUACAAUACAAUGAUCUGAUCAAAGAGUGAAGUUUUAAAGAACUCUAACUGCAAUACAGAAGAGGUUUCUCUGUUUCUCGUAACUGAGGAUGAAAUUCGCAAACCGCUUAUUGUAUUUGAGAUGAAAGAAACAGUAAAAACUCAGUAAAAAGAAGUCGAACAUGUCUUGCAACAGAAUAAGAUGAGAAUCCAAUACUCAACAGAUGUCGUUACAAUCGAUGCUAGUUAAUACUGGGAUAGUGUGAAGACCUUUUGCACCAUAUUCCUUUACCGAUAAUAUGUACAUUUUCUAAAACUAAGAAAGCCAUCAUUGAAACCAGUGAGUAGUUUAAGAAUCUUAAGCUUCAUGAUAUGAGGAUUGAAUAACGAAAAAAAAACACCGGACUUCUAGUUAAAAGGUAGUUGUAAAACGGAAGUAUAUCGGAACUUACAAUACUUCUGUAUGAACAUGCUGACUUUUCGAUUCUUCCACAAAUACACAAAUGAUAAUGAUCAUCUAUAAUAUUCACAAAUAAUAACAUUAAGGUAAGUAGUCAAAGGAGUAUAUAAACUUCAUUAUCUAUCUAUCAUGCCUCUUAUCUUGUCUUAUCUAAUCUUAGUUGUCUGAUAUGAAACCUAAAGCAAGUGAG